ensembl:lncRNA
GAAAAACAAAGCAGGAGCAGGGAAUAGAAGAAUGCCAGGAAUGGGGAUUGAUUUUAAAGAGGGUGGUUACAGGAGGCCUUAUGGAGAAUGCCACCUGAGCCAACACUUGAGGAGAUGAGAGCCAAGUGAGUGGGUAGCAGUGAAGGCUGCUCCAGGCAAAGGGAACACGACAAUCAACUGUUUGAAAACUCCCAUUGGGUCUCUAUCUCCUGGGAGACGUUAAAACUCUUUGUUCUAGGUUCUAUGGCCCUUCUCUGCCCUGGAGCUCCCCACAGAGAGGCUCUGGUCUUCUCUGUCCCAGGCAUGACAGCUAAUACUCUUCCUUUUCCUGCCCUGUCAUUUCCCUCCUCCUCAAACACAGAUUUUCUUUCCUUAGACACGAUUUCUUCCGCUGUGUUAGUCAGAGCCUUGUGGUGUUUGUUUAAAUAAACAAAUCCGUCAUGAAUACGAUAUGAAAGAAGAUUGGACCUUCAGGCUGACUAAUGACGAACAUGAUGAGUUUCUUAAGGAAGCAGGAGUGAGCAGCAAGUACGAGUUUUUGGAGGCACAGAGUGGGGAAGACUUGCUAAGGCUUGAAUGGGCUUGUCUUGGAGCCAGAGGCAAAUCAGUCUUUUCCUCUUCAAAGGAGUCAGUUUUACUGGAAGUACUACAUAUAAUUAAUUACAUAGGCAUUAAUAUCAUGCUGACAGAAAAACAAAAAAGGAAUGUGUUGCCACACAGAAGAUGCAGAACCACUUUUAUGGCCGAAGUGGAACCAUGGUGUGAUACAGCUUCAAGUGAUCUUAAAGAUCAUCUGGCUCUUGAGCAUCCAGUGAAAAGUGGCUUCCUUGGUCUGAAGGUUUGGCCUGUCUAAGACAUUUAGUUAAAAUCAGUGUUUUGCAUCUUUGAUCAGAACAUGUGAACAAAUAGGACAAUUUGGCUUUCUCACAUAGCCACCACCAGCUUCCUUAAAUGACUGUUGCCAGGUGUCACCCUAGCAGGACUGAGCCAUUAAUCAUGGCAAAUGAAGCCGCAGGUAAUUAAGUAUGUAAUUUUGAGCUGUUCAAGUGAAAUUCCAUAGAAGGUACAUCAUGAACUGGGGUAUCAUGUAGAAUUACCAGCAAAAAGACACUGAGUGUGAAUACGGUCUUUCACUAACGUUUGAUUCACAUCCAAUCCUUGUAUGUUGAUCACUGAGAGUGUUAGUUUCUAUGUGAGCCUGGACUCAUGUGGUCUUCACAGGUAUAGAUUUAUGAUUAGGUAAGCCAGGUCACAUGCCCUUGUCUCACUAUGCCUCUCGGUUAUAAUGAGAGUCCGCGAUCCUCAGGAAGGGGGAGCAGUAGGAUUCUGCAGAGCAGCAGGAGGCAGCGGCCAAGGGGCUGGAGGAACAGCUGGACUGCAUAGGUGCCCUUACCCAGGGCAGUGGGACAGAGCAAGGCUGGGGGUCAGAGAGUGAGGCCAACCAGUGAUCCAGGCAACCUUGGUGCCAGGACACCUUGCAGUGGAUGGCAUGUGGCAGUGAGAAGCCACUGUCCUCCCUCCCUCCCUCCAGGCCAUCUCAGCAGCAGUGGUCCGAGACUCAGGACAACACUGGCCCUGGGGGGUACUGGACAUGGGACCAAAGAUGUCUCAAGGGCAGUACCAAGUGGCAAAGCUGGAAGACGGAUCAACAGACAAGAUUAGGAGAGAGAAGUAUCUGGGCUUAAUGGCAAAGGCCAAGGCUAAAGCAACAGAACAGGAGUGAGAGAGUUCAGGAGGUUGGAGCAAAUGUUAGGGCCAUGGAGAGACCACUUGUGGUUUGGAGCUAAGCCACUGAACUGAAGCUCCCAUGACAGUCUAUAGCCUUGGGUCUAGGUGGAGAGGACAGUGACAUUUCCAGGGGGAGAAAGGUCAUAAGUCACUGCAGAGUGAAUCCAGAGCCCUAGGAUUCCCAGAAAGCCUUUCACCUGUGCCCAGGAACCUGGGAAGCAGGAGCUGGCUUCCUGCAGGAGGGGUCGGAGAACUGGGCAGGGCACUCAUCCCCAGCUCCAGCCAUGAAUGGUGACUGGGGAGAGAGUCAGGCCACAGUCACAGGGAGGUUGGGCUUCCAGGUAGUGCAACUGGGAAAUCCAUGGCAGGAGAUCAGAAAUGUUAAGGACUGAAUGUAUGUCCCCCAAAUUCAUAUGUUGAAGCUCAAACCCCCAAUGUGAUGAUAUUAGGAGGUGAGGCCUUUGGGAGGUGAUUAGGUCUUGAGGGUGGAGCCCCCAUCCGGGGAUUAGUGCCCUCACAAGAAGACCAGAGAGCUUGCUUCUUCUCUCUCUCUGCCAUGUGAGGACACAGGGAGAAGAGGCAGUCUACAUACUGGGAAGUGAGCCCUCACCAGAUACUGGAUCUACUGGCACCUUGAUCUUGGACUUCCCAGCCUCCAGAACUGUGAGAAAUAAAUGUGUGCUGUUUAAGCCACCCCAUCUGUGGUAUUUGCUACAGCAGCCUGAGCUGACCAAAACGGGGAGGAAGCCCAGCAUCUAAGCCAGAGGAACCCAGGAAAUGCUGCCAGCCAGGCCUUUUCCAGGCCUCAGAAUCCCCCCAACGCCUGGCUAUGGGAUCCUAAACUUAAGUACAGUCUAUGUUCCCAAUGACCAGCAGAUCCCCCUGUCUUUGCCUUCACGUCCUGACUCUAAUUCACACCAUCACUGGCUCUGGCCUGGAUUAUGGCAAUAGCCCCUCACUGGUCUCCCAUGUCCACUAUUGCCCCUUAGGUCCAUUCUUCAGAUCAAGGUCUCAUCUGCUAAUCUGUCUUCUUAAAAUUCUUCUGUUACUUGGGCACUUCCAACACUCUACCUAGCCAGGGACAACCCAGCCCCUGCUUACCUGUCAGCCUCUGUCCCUCCCUCAGAGCCUUCACCAGGCUGGCCUCUCCACCCCACGUGCUUCUCUGACAUCUCUGUCUAGAAUGCCUCCUUCAUAUCUUGGCUCAAACUUUUCUCCCAUAAAGCUACCUCUCUGGCCCCUCAGAAGGGCCUGCAUUUCUCCUUGUAGCCUUUAUGACGACUGACAUCAAAUAACAAGACGGAUGCCAAGAUACUUGAUGUCCGACUUCCCAUAAGAGUGUCAGUCAGCCCAAAAAAGGCAAGCAGCAUCUACCAUUCACCACUCUGUCUCAGGGCCAACCCCCUGCACUUAUAUGGUGAGUGCUCACUGGGCCAAGUCAAUAAGCAAAUGAAGAUUAUCAAUAUAGUGGAAUAUUAUUCAGCAAUGAAAAAGAACAAACUUAUGACACACAAAACAAUGUAGAUGAAUCUCUAAAUGAUCAGCCUGAGUGAAAGCAGCUAGACACAAGAGUACACCUGAUAAGACUCCAUUUAUAUAAAAUUCUAGAAAAUUCAAAUGAAGCUCUACAGACAGAAGUAGAUUGGUUGUUGCCUGAGAUUGGGGGUAAAUGUGGCUGGAGAUAUACCAAAUAUACCAAAAGGUAGGAAAAUAAGGACCACAUGCACCUCACUUAAGGCAGAGACUCAGAGCAGUUACUGCUGGCAUGGUGACUGCUUUCCUCUACUUCUAGGGGGCGCUUUGAUGCACAAAGGUGUCUGACCCUGCAGAACUGGCACAGCAGAGUGCAUGAUUGCUUUGUGCUUGCAGGGGGGGUUAUGAGCUUGUGCUGUUAACUAAAAGUGUCCAAAAUCUGGAAAUAAGGUCAAGAGGAUGACUGUGUGUGCCUCCAAUAUACCCAGAAGCUUUGUUUCAUUGGCCACCAGAGGAUUAUCUACAUUUCUGAAGGAUGGACCAUUGUUUGACUUUUGCCAUGCUAUUAAUUAAGAGCUCAGAUUCUGUGCAGUUCCCUUGUUACAUUGUAGAUGUUUG